rnacentral:snRNA from 14 species
AUACUUACUUGGCAGGGGAAAUACCAUGAUCACUACGAUGGUUUUUCUAGUCACUGGGGAUAACUGCUUUUCAGGCAGGGGAUAGUACCUGCAGAGGUAAUGUAUAGUUAACCUCCCACUUUCACUUCCAGUGGGAAGAUCUUGGCUUUAUGCCCACUUUAUGGAAAUGGGAGACUCCUCCCUAGCUUGCUCCUG